rnacentral:miRNA from 1 species
GUGAGUAGUGGCGCGCGGCGGC